GCUGGUGUAGCUCAAUUGGUAGAGCAACUGAUUUGUAAUCAGUUGGUUAUGAGUUCAAGUCUCUUCACUAGCU
rnacentral:tRNA from 1 species